GACAGAGGUGCCGAGCGUUAGGCGGAAUCACUGGGCUUAAAGCGUGUGUAGGCGGGCCGUUAAGUAUCUUGUGAAAUCCCCCGGCUCAACCGGGGAAUGGCUGGAUAUACUGACGGUCUUGAGCAAUCUAGGGGCAGAUGGAACAGACGGUGGAGCGGUGAAAUGCGUAGAUAUCGUCUGGAACGCCAAAGGUGAAGACAGUCUGCUGGGGAUUUGCUGACGCUGAGACACGAAAGCCAGGGGAGCGAACGGG
rnacentral:rRNA from 1 species